GUGCGAGGUGCUGCAUGGCUGUCGUCAGCUCGUGCUGUGAGGUGUUGGGUUAAGUCCCGCAACGAGCGCAACCCUUGCUCUUAGUUGCCAGCGGGUAAUGCCGGGCACUCUAAGGGGACUGCCCUCGAUAAGAGGGAGGAAGGUGGGGACGACGUCAAGUCAGCAUGGCCCUUACGUCCGGGGCUACACACGUGCUACAAUGGCGACUACAGCGCGUCGCUAACCUGCAAAGGGGAGCUAAUCGCUAAAAAGUCGCCCCAGUUCAGAUCGGGGUCUGCAACCCGACCCCGUGAAGCUGGAUUCGCUAGUAAUCGCGCAUCAGCUAUGGCGCGGUGAAUACGUUCCCGGGCCUU
rnacentral:rRNA from 1 species